rnacentral:rRNA from 1 species
UGGGGAAUAUUGGACAAUGGGCGCAAGCCUGAUCCAGCAAUGCCGCGUGUGUGAAGAAGGCCUUCGGGUUGUAAAGCACUUUUAUCAGGAGCGAAACGCUGUCGGCUAAUACCCGGCGGAACUGACGGUACCUGAGGAAUAAGCACCGGCUAACUUCGUGCCAGCAGCCGCGGUAAUACGAAGGGUGCAAGCGUUAAUCGGAAUUACUGGGCGUAAAGCGUGCGUAGGCGGUUUCUUAAGUCUGCUGUGAAAUCCCCGGGCUCAACCUGGGAAUGGCAGUGGAUACUGGGAGGCUAGAGUGUGUCAGAGGGUGGUGGAAUUCCCGGUGUAGCGGUGAAAUGCGAAUAGAGAUCGGGAGGAACAUCAGUGGCGAAGGCGGCCACCUGGGACAACACUGACGCUGAGGCACGAAAGCGUGGGGAGCAAACAGGAUUAGAUACCCUGGUAGUCCACGCCCUAAACGAUGCGAACUGGAUGUUGGUCUCAACUCGGAGAUCAGUGUCGAAGCUAACGCGUUAAGUUCGCCGCCUGGGGAGUACGGUCGCAAGACUGAAACUUAAAUGAAUUGACGGGGUCAUAGCUGUUUCCUG